rnacentral:rRNA from 1 species
CCCUUAGAUGUUCUGGGCUGCACGCGUGCUACACUGAUAUUGCCAAUAUGUCAUUCUUAUCCGAAAUGGAUUGGGUAAUCAAGUAAUGAAAUUUCAUGCUUGGAAUCGGUAAUUGCAAUUUUAUCGUGAACGAGGAAUUCCUAGUAAGCACUAGUCAUCAGCUAAUGUUGAUUAUGUCCCUGCCCUUUGUACACACCGCCCGUCGCUACUACUGGUUGGGUGUUCAAGUGAGAUGCUUAGACCCUUGUUGCAUGGUUCAUUAUUGUGCUCCGAAAGGAAAAAGUUUCAAGCUUGAGUGUCUAGAGGAAGUAAAAGUCGUAACA